UUAUUCAUUCGAUAUAAAUAACAUUCUGUAUGAAAGCUAUACAGAUUCUCUAUACGAGCCGGAAAUAUUCCAAAUACGUACUUGAACCGCUAUGAACAAAUAUCACAUGCAGUAAUAACCAUAAAGGAAUUAUCUACCAUACCUCUCAUUCGUAUUUAUUAUUUCAAAUUAGAAUCUCUUUAAGAAAUAGAUUCUUGUCUUUUUUUUUUUUUCGAUUUUUAUUUUGGUUUCGAACGUUGAAAAUACUCCGUUGAAAGGUUUGAGAAUUUUUUACAAUUUGAUCUGACGAUACUUGGAUUUACUUAUCGGAUACCAUAAAAAUAUAAAAAAAUUAUUUUCUUAUUUUAUGCAACUUACAGCCAUACUAUACGUCGGAUUAUCUUUUAUUGAAGCGAUUAUUAACGCGUUCGUUGCUGAGUAUCGUUACUGAGUCAUUGUCAGAGAUUGUCAAAUGAAGAGUUGGAAAAUUUUCAGAGAGAGAGAGAGAGAGAGGAACUUUCUUAAUAAUUCACGAAUCAAGUUUCACGGUGUAAGUAUCGGAUAAGUUUCGUAGAAAGAUUAAUCAUUAACAAGACGUACUAUCGAUAAUGGAAAUUCGAUCAGCGGUGGACGCGUUAAAGAGCAUGAACAAAGGUUGGUACAGUUGACUGAAAAUUUCCUAAGCAUUCCUAUGUCACGUCGCGCGAGCUAAUUUGAAAUCGCCGGCGAAUGAACCGAGCCGACCGAGUUUCAAAACCUUCGCUCCAUGCUUGUCCGCUGUUCUACUCAUCGUGCAAACACGUGCGUGGCUGAUCCGUGGAUAUCGUUAAUUAGUCAGCGAACAGGGUGGUUAUUCGAAUAACUGGAAUAAGUAAAAAUAAAGAUCUACGUAUCAAAAUAAAGUUUAGUGACAUUCCAUUUGAUACGCGCGACUCAAGUGUCUAUAAAUAUCUGUUUCUGAAAUUUGUUAAUGCUUUGUACGGUGAUUCAUAGAAUAUUAAAAGGCAAUCUUACGCUUAAAAAGCUGCCGCAAACCAAUGACCUUGUUACGUCUCGAUGAUAAUUUAAUAAUUUCACGGUAAUUUUUCGGCAUUUUUUAAUUUGAAUUUAAUUUUUCAUUUUUUCUUUUCUUUGCGGUACAUACAUGUAUAUUCAUAUAACAUAGAAUUGUACUUACACGCAACUCGCUUUUCAACGGAUUCAAUCAAAAUUAUCAACGUUAUUUUAGACGUAAUUUCGUUGUAUGUUAUAUUCGUACGAAUAUUUGUACAUCGAUAUUAUUUUAGAAGAUGUUUAUAUCUUGGGAAUCACAAUUAAUAAAAAGGCAAACUUUUCUUUUUUUUUUUUUGCCAAUUCCCAUGUGGAUUGUUAAACGUUAUGCGAAUUAUAGCUAAAACGUAUAAAUAUAUUUGUUUAUAUAUUUAGAUAUUUUCAACGUCUACGUGAAAAAAUACUUCGUCAGCCUUCGUUCGCAGACGCUCUAUCUCUAAAAUUUCAAAGAGACACUUCGAUGAAACGCGUAAUUAUGCAAUCGAUUAGAAUACUAUUAAUACAUUACAACAACAGUGAUUCCUCAAAUGAGAAGUUAAAUGUGGAAAUUACGCGAACCAAUGAGAGCUUAUGCCAACGUAUUUAUUUCGAGAUUCGGCUUCGGCUUUUGCGGUUUGUGGGGAAAGUGCAGGCCUCAAGUUGCUCGUUAAUCACUCUACCUGAUGAUAUACGUACGGACAUUUAAUCGAGUCAAGGUACUUCCUACCAAAACCUUGAUCACCAUCGAUGAAAUAGUAUUAGAUAAAAUGCGAUAGACAACGAUAGAGAACAAUAACAAACUCUAUAUCAAUACCAAAAUUCAUGCAAACUUUUUUUUUUCAUGUACAUAUUACUACGACUUCCUCUAUAAACUAACGCGUCUAAGUUUUUCCUUUUUUCUUUUUUUUGAAAUUUAAUUUCUUUUACCUUUCGAUAAAAAAUUUAUUUCAUUAAUUUAACAGAUUAUUGUCGACGCAGAUUGUGUAUCGAUUUUUGUCAAGUUUCUACAAAUUGAAUUAUUAUUAAUAGAAACAGAAUUUUUAAAUAUUCCUGGAAAGAGAAUAUAAUUGACUAGCGGUAAAAUUCAAGACCAAUUCUACUACUAAGACAAAUACUUUUGACUUGUCACGGUACAAUAUUAGAUACAUAUACACGCAAUAUCGAGCGUGAAAAGUUUGGCAAAUAUAGUUGAAAAAUAUUUGUCUUGUAUAUAUCUAUUUCGCAUAAUAUUAUAUCCGUUUUAGAUGAUUCAGGAAACUAUUAGACAUAUUUCAUAGCUAAUUAAAUACUUUUGCCAUUAUACGCGUUAUUUUAUACUAUACAAAACGUGCAAAUGUGAAAGAAUUAAAGCGUACAGUUUAGAAAUAUUUAUUUCCUAUGUUUACUUUUCCAUCGCGUUACAUUUAUUUUACACGAGCUAUAAGUUUAUCGUGUUUCAAAGCUGAGUACGUUAUUUUACUAAUGUGCCUUUUAAGAGGAUUAUUGGAAGAAUAUUGUUUCGUACGAUUAAUCGUAUUUGGUAUAUUUACUAUUCCAUCGCGUUACAUUUAUUUUACACGAGCUAUAAGUUUAUCGUGUUCCAAAGCUCAGUACGUUAUUUUACUAAUGUGCCUUUUUAAGAGGAUUAUUGAAAGAAGAUUGUUUCGUAAUAAAAUUAAUCGAAAGUCUGGCAGCCACCAGCGGCAGCCAAGCUCGCAGAAAGGGAGCGUGCUUCGUCCUACUCGUCAUUUACUUCCUUAUAAAUUGUUUCAUAUCGUGAUUUACAUUAAUGUUACGCAUGUUCGCGAAUUAAGGAAAUUACCCUUGCACGUGACUGUCAUAUACGAUCCAGCCUAAUGACGUAUAAUUAAGAAACGUAUCCGUGUAACGUGGCUGUACCAACAAUAACGUUGCAAUUAAAAGAGUGGACAAUUUCGUUCAGCUCGUAACGCAAGAUUGAGAGGAAAGACGAGUCAGACCAGUUGAACGUAUUCGAGUCGUUGGAAGUAAUUGAACGUAUCGCGUGUAGCAAUGUACGAGAGGAACGACAAGAGUGACAGAUUUUCAAGAAAACAAUAUAAUCGUACAAGUUGAAAAGAAUUUAUUUAUCUGAUAUGUUCGGAAGAAUAAGUGAAACGCUGUAAAAAUUGAUAGAAAAUUAAACUACAAAUUUUGCCAAGAUAUUUCGAAGAUUUUCUGAAACGUUGAAUCUAGAAAGCUGUUAAAAUAUUUGGAAAGAUGAAACUAAAUAUUCCACGGAAUCUUCUGUGAAAGGCAAUUUUAGAAAGCAGCGACUCAUAGGAAGGAUAGAAAAUUAAACUGAAAGACAUUCGAAACUCUAAAAGAUUGCAAAAGAAUCGUAAACGCGAUUCGCAAGAGGGGAAAAAUCUCACAAAUAACAACGAUAGAGUCGAAAAGGCUACAACAAGGACCCAAGUAUCAAGGCCAAGGGUUGAUAUGUUCGGAUCGACGAACAACUUUUCAUCAAAGUCAGGAAAUUAAGUGGCGCGUUAUAUCAUAUCCCUUGUUAUCUCAACGAUGAUAUCCUCUCAGGUAACCGCUAUAUCGUUCUUUAUCUCUACGUAGUUUAAAUAUCCUCUAGUCAACUGCGGUACGAAGUGCCAGAUUAAGAAUGGUCAAGUCUGUAACACGGUAUGCCACAAGGACCUUGAAUUCUCCACUUUAAUUGUCCAUUGUAAUUAUCUUGAACUUAGUUAAAUCCAACAACUUGGAACUCUAAGAUAUUAUAAAUCUGUUGAAAAUUGUGGAUCUUAAUCGCCGAAAUAAAAGUGAAAGAACACUAAGGUUACACUUAGAAUUCGUAUCAAAAUAAUUUUAGAUUUAUUUAAUAAACGAUGUCCAGGAUCUUCGUCGAUAUACAUUUGCACGCGUCUCAGCUCUCUCUUUGUCUCGCCAUCUUCCACCCUACACUGUCAACGGAACAGUUACAUUCGUCUGCUUUUCGAGACACACAUACUUCCACACACUCAUAUUCACAUACGUGUGUCACUACUACACGGCCAAUCUAGUCAGCACACAAAAUUAUACAUAUCUCGAUAAAAUCAAUUCGAUUCUCGAUUAAUAUUAAUUGUCGAUUUUUAUUUUGUUCAAGUUGGAUAGAAGAAGCAGAUUCAACAGCGAAGAACGUGUCAAAUUUACGUGGUUUUCCUCUCGCAGAGUAAUUAUGCCGAGGAAUGUGACGGAAAACGACGAUUAUCCUGCAAACUGUUUCCUUCCUCUGGCGUAUCUCUUCGUCAAAUACGCAGCAACAAGGAUAACGUACGUGAGAGCGAAUCUCUCGAUUGGUUAUCUUAGGAGGAACAAAAGCAUCUAUUGUUCGCCGAAGCUUCUAAUUAUGAGAAUUCUAAUGUAACAUCGCAGGGAGGAACUAAGAAAUACGUACGCUCGUCGUAAAAAUCAGGUCGGCAACAAAAACGUGAGAGGUUAGUUUUCCAAAUGUCUAUAAAACUAGAGAAGAGGAAGAUUAUUAAGAUAUGUGUAAUUUUGUGUGCUACACUAGAUUAGCCGCGUAGUAGUGACACACAUAUAUGUGAAUAUGAGUGUGUGGGAGCAUGUGCGUGCACAGCGUCUCGUAAAACAGAAGAAUACAACUGUUCCGUUGGUAAUGUGGUAAAGGAGGUGAUGAGACAAAGAGAGUACUGAGACGCGUGCAAAUGUGUAUCGACGAAUAUCUUGUAAAUCACAUAUUAAAUAGAUCUGAAACUAUUUUGAUAUCAAUUCUAAGUGUAAUCUAAGUGUUCCUAUACAUUUAUUUCGGCGAUUAAGAUCCACAAUUUUCAACAAAGAUUACCAUUACCUUCGAUCGAAGGUAACGCAGUAUUGAUAGAAUAAUCUCAUUAAUGGAAAAUAAUCACAAUUGAUUUACAGCAAAAGGUAACAGAAACUGACUAUAACUAGCAAUGUGUAAGUGAAAACCGCAAAAGUGGAGCCUAUCUUGCGGCCAUGUAACAUAUCCGCGUAAACACAUGCACACACGACGAACACACACACGCGUAAGGCAUAAAAGAAGACGUAUUCUUCCUUUUGGACAUUGAAACUGAACCUGAGUUAUCGCGAGCACUUUUGCUUAGCUGGUAGUAUACUCGAAAGUGGCCGUAAAUAAUCGUCAGAAGGACGUAAUAAAUACCGAGAGUUUCAGGGUAAGUA